UUCUGAGACCUUGGUGUACAAGGGGAACUGGCUCACCCUGACCAAGCCCCUGGUGAGGCCAGAGGACGAAGGUAACUACCGCUGUGAGUUGGGCACCGUGGGAGUGAGCACACUCUAGGUCAUCCGUUUUCAAGUCUCAGGGUUGACUCAAAGAAUCACUGCGGAGACAAAUUCCAAGUCAUCAACCUUUGUAACCCAGCCAUCAACCAUUGGAACCCAGUCACCAGCCAUUAGAACCGAGGCCGAGGAGGAAAUCUGGGAUGACCUUUCCCCAACCCUCGUGCACUCAGAGUGUUCAAAGCCCGAAAAUGUGCAGACCGGCCGUCUGAUAGGGCUGCUUCUCUGGUGCUUUUUCCUGCUGAUCAUAGGAUUUUUCACUGGCGUACUUUGCUUUCGGUCUGGGAUGGUGAUCGAUUCCAUAAAGUCCAGAUUCCGCACCGACAAGGCAGCUGCUCCACAGGACCAGCUUCCACAGAGUUGGCUGUCACAGAACCAGCUGUCACAUGACCAGCUGUCACAGAGUCCGCUCUCAGAAACCCAGGUUCCGAAAGCUGAGAAACUUCCGAAGGAAUAGGCCACAGUCCCAAGGCGCAAAUAAAGAUUUAUCUGGUUGUCUCUA